rnacentral:rRNA from 1 species
UACGGGGGGAGCAAGCGUUGUUCGGAUUUACUGGGCGUAAAGGGCGUGCAGGCGGUCUGUUUAGUCUAGGGUGAAAGCUCCCGGCUCAACUGGGAGAGGUCCUUGGAUACUGGCAGACUUGAGGGAGGUAGAGGAGAGUGGAAUUCCCGGUGUAGUGGUGAUAUGCGUAGAUAUCGGGAGGAACACCAGUGGCGAAGGCGGCUCUCUGGGCCUUACCUGACGCUGAGACGCGAAAGCGUGGGGAGCGAACCGG